rnacentral:rRNA from 1 species
UACGGGGGGGAGCAAGCGUUGUUCGGAUUUACUGGGCGUAAAGGGCGCGUAGGCGGUCAGCACAAGUCAGUUGUGAAAUCUCCGGGCUUAACUCGGAAAGGUCAACUGAUACUGUGCGACUAGAGUGCAGAAGGGGCAACUGGAAUUCUCGGUGUAGCGGUGAAAUGCGUAGAUAUCAGGAAGAACACCCGUGGCGAAAGCGGCUCUCUGGGACGGUACUGACGCUGAGACGCGAAAGCGUGGGGAGCGAACAGG